GUGAGUCCCGCUUCGGCCGCACAUGCACUGAAAUUGGGACGAUACACAGAGAUCAGCAUGGCCCCUGCGCAAGGGUGACACGCAGACUCGUGACGCGUCCCGCAUCUUC